UCAAGCGAAUAAGCGCACACGGUGGAUGCCUUGGCGGUCAGAGGCGAUGAAGGACGUGGCAGCCUGCGAAAAGUAUCGGGGAGCUGGCAACAAGCUUUGAUCCGGUAAUGUCCGAAUGGGGAAACCCACCCGCUUGCGGGUAUCCUGCAGUGAAUACAUAGCUGCUGGAAGCGAACCUGGUGAACUGAAAUAUCUAAGUAACCAGAGGAAAAGAAAUCAACCGAGAUUCCGUAAGUAGCGACGAGCGAACGCGGACUAGCCCUUAAGCUGAUUUGGUUCUAGGAAAACGCUCUGGAAAGAGCGGCCAUAGAAGGUGAUAGCCCUGUAUCUGAAAGGGCCAUUUCAGUGAAGACGAGUAGGGCGGGGCACGUGAAACCCUGUCUGAACAUGGGGGGACCAUCCUCCAAGGCUAAAUACUACUGACCGACCGAUAGUGAACCAGUACCGUGAGGGAAAGGCGAAAAGAACCCCGGAGAGGGGAGUGAAAUAGAACCUGAAACCGUGUGCGUACAAGCAGUAGGAGCUCCGCAAGGAGUGACUGCGUACCUUUUGUAUAAUGGGUCAGCGACUUACUGUUCGUGGCAAGCUUAACCGUAUAGGGGAGGCGAAGGGAAACCGAGUCUGAUAAGGGCGCAUAGUCGCGGGCAGUAGACCCGAAACCGGGUGAUCUAGUCAUGCCCAGGGUGAAGGUGCGGUAACACGCACUGGAGGCCCGAACCCACUCCCGUUGCAAAGGUAGGGGAUGAGGUGUGAUUAGGAGUGAAAAGCUAAUCGAACCCGGAGAUAGCUGGUUCUCCUCGAAAGCUAUUUAGGUAGCGCCUCAUAUGUAUCCUCUCGGGGGUAGAGCACUGUUAUGGCUAGGGGUCAUCGCGACUUACCAAACCAUUGCAAACUCCGAAUACCGAGACGGACUGUAUGGGAGACACACGGCGGGUGCUAACGUCCGUCGUGAAAAGGGAAACAACCCAGACCCACAGCUAAGGUCCCAAAUUCACUGCUAAGUGGAAAACCAUGUGGAAAGGCACAGACAGCCAGGAGGUUGGCUUAGAAGCAGCCACCCUUUAAAGAAAGCGUAAUAGCUCACUGGUCGAGUCGGUCUGCGGGGAAGAUUUAACGGGGCUAAGCAGUGAACCGAAGCUUGGGGUGCAUAACUUUGUUAUGCGCGGUAGAGGAGCGUUCCGUAAGCCGUUGAAGGUGGAUUGAGAAGUCUGCUGGAGGUAUCGGAAGUGCGAAUGCUGACAUGAGUAACGAUAAUGCGGGUGAAAAACCCGCACGCCGAAAGCCCAAGGUUUCCUUGCGCAACGUUAAUCGGCGCAGGGUGAGUCGGCCCCUAAGGCGAGGACGAAAGUCGUAGUCGAUGGGAAGCAGGUUAAUAUUCCUGCACCUCGCGUAAGUGCGAUGGAGGGACGGAGAAGGUUAGGUGUACCAGGCGUUGGUUGUCCUGGGGAAAGGCGGUAGGUUUGGAUCUUUGGCAAAUCCGGGAUCCUCUAAGACCGAGCACCGAGACGAGCCUUUAUGGCAAAGUCACUGAUACCACGCUUCCAGGAAAAGCUCCUAAGCUUCAGCUUACGCAGACCGUACCGUAAACCGACACAGGUGGGUAGGAUGAGAAUUCUCAGGCGCUUGAGAGAACUCGGGUGAAGGAACUAGGCAACAUGGCACCGUAACUUCGGGAGAAGGUGCACCCUUUUUGGUGGCUCGUGCGAGCUAUAGCUGAAGAGGGUCGCAGUAACCAGGCCGCUGCGACUGUUUAUCAAAAACACAGCACUCUGCAAACACGAAAGUGGACGUAUAGGGUGUGACGCCUGCCCGGUGCUGGAAGGUUAAUUGAUGGGGUCAGCCGCAAGGCGAAGCUCUUGAUCGAAGCCCCAGUAAACGGCGGCCGUAACUAUAACGGUCCUAAGGUAGCGAAAUUCCUUGUCGGGUAAGUUCCGACCUGCACGAAUGGCGUAACGACAGCGGCGCUGUCUCCACCCGAGACUCAGUGAAAUUGAAAUCGCUGUGAAGAUGCAGCGUUCCCGUGGCAAGACGGAAAGACCCCGUGAACCUUUACUAUAGCUUUACACUGAACGUUGAGUUCGUCUGUGUAGGAUAGGUGGGAGGCUAUGAAACUGUGGCGCUAGCUGCAGUGGAGCCAUCCUUGAAAUACCACCCUGUCGUGCUUGACGUUCUAACCUGGGCCCAUUAUCUGGGUCGGGGACCGUGUAUGGUGGGUAGUUUGACUGGGGCGGUCUCCUCCUAAAGAGUAACGGAGGAGCUCGAAGGUACGCUCAGCGCGGUCGGACAUCGCGCACUGUGUGCAAAGGCAUAAGCGUGCUUGACUGCAAGAUCGACGGAUCAAGCAGGUAGGAAACUAGGACUUAGUGAUCCGGUGGUUCUGUAUGGAAGGGCCAUCGCUCAACGGAUAAAAGGUACUCCGGGGAUAACAGGCUGAUACCGCCCAAGAGUUCAUAUCGACGGCGGUGUUUGGCACCUCGAUGUCGGCUCAUCACAUCCUGGGGCUGUAGUCGGUCCCAAGGGUAUGGCUGUUCGCCAUUUAAAGUGGUACGCGAGCUGGGUUCAGAACGUCGUGAGACAGUUCGGUCCCUAUCUGCCAUGGGCGUUGGAGAUUUGAGAGGGGCUGCUCCUAGUACGAGAGGACCGGAGUGGACGAACCUCUGGUGUUCCGGUUGUCACGCCAGUGGCAUUGCCGGGUAGCUAUGUUCGGAAGCGAUAACCGCUGAAAGCAUCUAAGCGGGAAGCGCGCCUCAAGAUGAGAUCUCCCGGGGCACAAGCCCCUGAAGGAACCAUGUAGACUACGUGGUUGAUAGGUCAGGUGUGUAAGUACAGCAAUGUAUUGAGCUAACUGAUACUAAUGAUCCGAGAGGCUUGACCAU
rnacentral:rRNA from 1 species